UACGGAGGGUGCAAGCGUUGCUCGGAAUUAUUGGGCGUAAAGGGCGCGUAGGCGGCUCAUGAAGGCUGUGGUGAAAGUCCGGGGCUCAACCUCGGAUCGGCCGUGGCGACUCGUGGGCUGGAGCACUGUAGAGGCGGGUGGAAUUCCGGGAGUAGCGGUGGAAUGCGUAGAGAUCCGGAAGAACACCAGUGGCGAAGGCGGCCCGCUGGGCAGUGGCUGACGCUGAGGCGCGACAGCGUGGGGAGCAAACAGG
rnacentral:rRNA from 1 species